CCUACGGGAGGCAGCAGUGGGGAAUAUUGCACAAUGGGGGAAACCCUGAUGCAGCGACGCCGCGUGAGUGAAGCAGUAUUUCGGUAUGUUAAGCUCUAUCAGCAGGGAAGAAAAUGACGGUACCUGAUUAAGAAGCCCCGGCUAACUACGUGCCAGCAGCCGCGGUAAUACGUAGGGGGCAAGCGUUAUCCGGAUUUACUGAGUGUAAAGGGAGCGUAGACGGCAGCACAAGUCUGGAGUGAAAUGGCGGGGCUUAACCCCGGGACUGCUUUGGAAACUGUGCAGCUAGAGGGCAGGAGAGGUAAGUGGAAGUCCUAGUGUAGCUGGGAAAUGCGUAGAUAUUAGGAGGAACACCAGAGGCGGAGGCGGCUUACUGGACUGUAACUGACGUUGAGGCUCGAAAGUGUGGGGAGCAAACAGGAUUAGAUACCCUUGUAGUC
rnacentral:rRNA from 1 species